rnacentral:rRNA from 1 species
UACAGAGGUCUCAAGCGUUAUUCGGAUUCAUUGGGCGUAAAGGGUGCGUAGGUGGCGAUGUAAGUCUGGUGUGAAAUCUCGGGGCUUAACCCCGAAACUGCAUUGGAUACUGCGUUGCUUGAGGAUUGUAGAGGAGAGUGGAAUUCACGGUGUAGCAGUGAAAUGCGUAGAUAUCGUGAGGAAGACCAGUUGCGAAGGCGACUCUCUGGGCAAUUCCUGACACUGAGGCACGAAGGCCAGGGGAGCAAACGGG